rnacentral:rRNA from 1 species
AACGAACGCUGGCGGCGUGCUUAACACAUGCAAGUCGAACGAGAAAGUGUAGCAAUACAUGAGUAAAGUGGCGCACGGGUCCGUAACACGUGGGUAAUCUACCUCCAGGCGAGGAACAACCUGUCGAAAGACGGGCUAAUACCUCAUAAGACCACGAGAACGAAAGUUCUUGAGGUCAAAGGUGGCCUCUAUUUAUAAGCUAUCACCUGUAGAUGAGCCCGCGCACCAGCAGCUUGUUGGUGAGGCAAAAGCUCACCAAGGCUGAGACGGUUAGCUGGUCUGAGAGGACGACCAGCGACACUGGAACGGGGACACGGUCCAGACUCCUACGGGAGGCAGCAGUGGGGAAUUUUGGACAAUGGGCGAAAGCCUGAUCCAGCAACGCCGCAUGAGUGAUGAAGGCCUUCGGGUUGUAAAGCUCUGUCGGAGGGAACGAAUAAAGGCCACCUAAUACGUGGCCAUAUGACGGUACUCUCAAAGGAAGCAACGGCUAACUCUGUGCCAGCCGCCGCGGUAA